rnacentral:tRNA from 1 species
GGCCCCUUAGCUCAGUGGUUAGAGCAGGCGACUCAUAAUCGCUUGGUCGUUGGUUCAAACCCAACAGGGGGCACCA